rnacentral:rRNA from 1 species
UAGAGUUUGAUCCUGGCUCAGAUUGAACGCUGGCGGCGUGCUUAACACAUGCAAGUCGAGCGAGAAAGCUCUCUUCGGAGAGUGAGUAGAGCGGCGCACGGGUGAGUAACGCGUGGAUAAUCUGCCCUGAAGAUCGGGAUAACAGUUGGAAACGGCUGCUAAUACCGUAUAAUCUGCAUAUUUAACUUUAUGUGGGAAAGAUGGCCUCUACUUGUAAGCUAUCACUUUUGGAUGAGUCCGCGUCUCAUUAGCUUGUUGGUGGGGUAAUGGCCUACCAAGGCAACGAUGAGUAGCUGGUCUGAGAGGAUGAUCAGCCACACUGGGACUGAAACACGGCCCAGACUCCUACGGGAGGCAGCAGUGGGGAAUAUUGCGCAAUGGGGGAAACCCUGACGCAGCGACGCCGCGUGUAGGAAGAAGGCCUUCGGGUCGUAAACUACUGUCAAGAGGGUAAGAAACCGUAGAGUAUUAAUACGACUUGCGCUGACGGUACUCUAGAGGAAGC